rnacentral:rRNA from 1 species
UACGUAGGUUGCAAGCGUUACUCGGAAUCACUAGGCGUAAAGCGCGUGUAGGCGGUGCUUUAAGUCUGUCGUUAAAUUUCACAGCUUAACUGUGAAAGGUCGACAGAUACUGAAGUGCUAGAGUGAGGUAGAGGAAACUGGAAUUCCAGGUGUAGCGGUGGAAUGCGUAGAUAUCUGGAAGAACGCCAAAGGCGAAGGCAGGUUUCUGGGUCUUUACUGACGCUGAGACGCGAAAGCUAGGGGAGCAAACAGG